AUGUUCUCUGUAGCUCUGCUGCUGCUGCUGACAGCUGGGUCCUGUGUGAAGUGUGAAUGGCUGACACAGCCAGCAUCGGUGACUGUGCAGCCAGGUCAACGUCUGACCAUCACCUGUCAGGUCUCUUAUUCUGUGGGCAGCUACCGGACAGCUCGGAUCAGACAGCCUGCAGAGAAAGGACUGGAGUGGAUUGUAAUCGGAGGUGUUGGAUAUACAUCAUACUACAAAGACUCACUAAAGAAUAAGUUCAAUAUCAGCUUUGACUCCUCCAGCAAGACAGCGACUUUCACUGGACAGAAUGUGCAGCCUGAAGACUCGGCUGUGUAUUACUGUGGCAGAGAGUCACAGUAA